rnacentral:rRNA from 1 species
CAAUAGCGUAUAUUAAAGUUGUUGCGGUUAAAAGCUCGUAGUUGGAUUUCUGUCCGAGGCAGCCGGUCCGCACCUGGUGCGUGUAUCUGGUUUGGCUAGGGCAUCCUCUUGGGGAACGUCUCUGUGCUUGAUUGCAUGGGGCGGAAUUCAAGACUUUUACUUUGAGGAAAUUAGAGUGUUCACGGCAAGCUAUCGCUUUGAAUACAUUAGCAUGGAAUAAUGGAAUAGGACUUUGGUCCCAUUUUGUUGGUUUCUAGGGCCGAAGUAAUGAUUAAGAGGGACAAUUGGGGGCAUCCGUAUUUCGUUGUCAGAGGUGAAAUUCUUGGAUUUACGAAAGACGAACAACUGCGAAAGCACUUGCCAAGAGUGUUUUCAUUAAUCAAGAACGAAAGUUAGAGGAUCGAAGACGAUUAGAU